UCCGUAGGCGGUGCGGCAAGUCGAUAGUGAAAUCCCUGGGCUUAACCCAGGGGCUGCUAACGAAACUGCCGUGCUCGAGUGUGAGAGAGGCGAGUGGAAUUACGGGUGUAGCGGUGAAAUGCGUAGAUAUCCGUAGGAACAUCCGAGGCGAAAGCGGCUCGCUGGAUCACAACUGACGCUGAGGGACGAAAGCUAGGGGAGCAAACAGGAUUAGAUACCCUGGUAGUCCUAGCCCUAAACCAUCAGGACUUGGGGUUUGCCCUGUACGGGGCAAGUCCCGUAGCUAACGCGUUAAGUCCUGCGCCUGGGGAGUACGGUCACAAGGCUGAA
rnacentral:rRNA from 1 species